rnacentral:lncRNA from 1 species
CCCCCUCUUCCCGUGCACAGUGCGGGGCGAGGCUUGGCGAACGGUGGGUCUGCGCCUUCCCAAGCGGCCGCGGACUGCGUCCCUGGGGACACUGGAGGGGACUCCAGGGACAGCGUGGGUGGGCCUUUCCCCCCGCACGCGCCUCUGUCACUCUCUUUCCGGGCCAGAGCCGGGGCAGCGCUCUAAAUUAAGGUCGACCUCCAGCGCUGGGUGAAGUCUUGGGUCCGCCCGGGAGCCCUAAGAGACUGGGGCAGCAUGAAUGUGCUGGAAGAUUAGAGGCUGCUGAUGCUGAAGGAAGGAGAAAUGAGGAGGAAGGGUCCCUGUGGACAAGUCAUCUCCCUUCAUUUAAGCCAGGCCAGUAGUCCGGGAGACAUUCUGAAUGAUGCAUUAUCCUAGGCACCAGAAAGUAGCUAACAUUCUCAUGGACAGCAGGGAAAAAUGAGCACAUGAGACAGGGGAAGAUUCCAGCACCUGUGAACUUGUUUGUGCAGGUUUCCAGUCAGUACAUGGAUAUCCCUCAAGCCUUUGAAUCCAGUCUCCUG